UACUUACUCCGUGAAUCGG
rnacentral:snRNA from 1 species